AUUGAACGCUGGCGGCAUGCCUUACACAUGCAAGUCGAACGGCAGCACGGGAGCAAUCCUGGUGGCGAGUGGCGAACGGGUGAGUAAUAUAUCGGAACGUGCCCAGUCGUGGGGGAUAACGUAGCGAAAGCUACGCUAAUACCGCAUACGAUCUAUGGAUGAAAGCGGGGGAUCGCAAGACCUCGCGCGAUUGGAGCGGCCGAUAUCAGAUUAGGUAGUUGGUGGGGUAAAGGCUCACCAAGCCGACGAUCUGUAGCUGGUCUGAGAGGACGACCAGCCACACUGGGACUGAGACACGGCCCAGACUCCUACGGGAGGCAGCAGUGGGGAAUUUUGGACAAUGGGCGCAAGCCUGAUCCAGCAAUGCCGCGUGCAGGAUGAAGGCCUUCGGGUUGUAAACUGCUUUUGUACGGAGCGAAAAGGCUCUCUCUAAUACAGGGGGCUCAUGACGGUACCGUAAGAAUAAGCACCGGCUAACUACGUGCCAGCCGCCGCCGUAA
rnacentral:rRNA from 1 species